rnacentral:lncRNA from 1 species
CAGGAUGCGGUGGGUGAACGUGGGGAAGUGAGCCAGGAAAAGGAAGAAAGCCAUUGAGGCUGCACUAAUAAUGGGUUACUUUUUGAGGGUGACUGGAGCUCACUCUUAUUAAGAUCCUUCUAAGAAACUGUGGAAAAUAAUCCCAACAUUUCCCACCAAGAGGUGAGAAAGCUGGGUCAUUAUCAGUUUCAGCUCUGGUUGACAGUCUCUGAGACAUUAACUCCCUGGUACUUCCAGCCUGCCCCAUGUGUGAGCCAAGCACAGUCCUGGGCUGGAGAGUGCCUGCGGGCUGAGAGGCACAGGAAGCCAGUGGACAGUAAGGGAGUUGUCUUCAGAUGACCUCCAGGGUGUGUCAAGGGGAUAUGGGCAGGGCAUGAGUGCAUCUUUCACAGCACGUCCUUUGUAUUGCUUAUUAACGUGCCCAUGUUAAGUUCACUCUGUCACUAAUUCUUUAAAAUGGCCUUAAUCAUACCCCUGAUGGAAGGAUGUAACAGCAGGGUGGUUGGUGGGAUGCUGCUGCAGUUGUUCCCAGGCUGUGGGGAUAUUCAUCCUCUCCUUCACAGAAUGUUCAUUCUGGAAUCCCC